UCCUUAUAAAUUCAUCAAAUAAUUUUCAAUUAUUACAUGCAUAGGAAGAAAAUAUGGCUCAACUUCACAAAUUGAUUUAUGCUUUGACAAUAUUUCUUUCUUUAUUUAUUGUUGGAGCGGUUCGUAUUCCAAGACCAUUAAUUGAUCCACUUAACUGCCAUAUUGAUAUUCAUUGUAUAUACAAAGAAUGUCGACGUCCGUUCAAACCAUCUUGCCUUAAUUUUAAAUGUGAUUGCGGAAAAGAGUAACAAUUAUGAGUAAAAACAAAUUUAUGUUACUUCAAACCGUAUUGGUAGUACUUUUAUAAUUUCUUUCAAAAUUAUAUUUAUGUUUCUUUGACAUUUCCCUUUUGUUGACAAGCUCAAAAGUAUCUUUAUUAUACAAUAAAAGUACUAUUAUAUAUACUCACUGUAGAAUUAUAUAGCUCAUUUAAUAAAUAAAGUCAAUGUUUGAUUAUGUUCA